GGGUUGUGAGGUUAAGCGACUAAGCGUACACGGUGGAUGCCCUGGCAGUCAGAGGCGAUGAAGGACGUGCUAAUCUGCGAUAAGCGUCGGUGAGGUGAUAUGAACCGUUAUAACCGGCGAUUUCCGAAUGGGGAAACCCAGUGUGUUUCGACACACUAUCAUUAACUGAAUCCAUAGGUUAAUGAGGCGAACCGGGGGAACUGAAACAUCUAAGUACCCCGAGGAAAAGAAAUCAACCGAGAUUCCCCCAGUAGCGGCGAGCGAACGGGGAGGAGCCCAGAGCCUGAAUCAGUGUGUGUGUUAGUGGAAGCGUCUGGAAAGGCGCGCGAUACAGGGUGACAGCCCCGUACACAAAAAUGCACAUAUUGUGAGCUCGAUGAGUAGGGCGGGACACGUGGUAUCCUGUCUGAAUAUGGGGGGACCAUCCUCCAAGGCUAAAUACUCCUGACUGACCGAUAGUGAACCAGUACCGUGAGGGAAAGGCGAAAAGAACCCCGGCGAGGGGAGUGAAAAAGAACCUGAAACCGUGUACGUACAAGCAGUGGGAGCCUCUUUAUGGGGUGACUGCGUACCUUUUGUAUAAUGGGUCAGCGACUUAUAUUCUGUAGCAAGGUUAACCGAAUAGGGGAGCCGAAGGGAAACCGAGUCUUAACUGGGCGUUAAGUUGCAGGGUAUAGACCCGAAACCCGGUGAUCUAGCCAUGGGCAGGUUGAAGGUUGGGUAACACUAACUGGAGGACCGAACCGACUAAUGUUGAAAAAUUAGCGGAUGACUUGUGGCUGGGGGUGAAAGGCCAAUCAAACCGGGAGAUAGCUGGUUCUCCCCGAAAGCUAUUUAGGUAGCGCCUCGUGAAUUCAUCUCCGGGGGUAGAGCACUGUUUCGGCAAGGGGGUCAUCCCGACUUACCAACCCGAUGCAAACUGCGAAUACCGGAGAAUGUUAUCACGGGAGACACACGGCGGGUGCUAACGUCCGUCGUGAAGAGGGAAACAACCCAGACCGCCAGCUAAGGUCCCAAAGUCAUGGUUAAGUGGGAAACGAUGUGGGAAGGCCCAGACAGCCAGGAUGUUGGCUUAGAAGCAGCCAUCAUUUAAAGAAAGCGUAAUAGCUCACUGGUCGAGUCGGCCUGCGCGGAAGAUGUAACGGGGCUAAACCAUGCACCGAAGCUGCGGCAGCGACACUAUGUGUUGUUGGGUAGGGGAGCGUUCUGUAAGCCUGUGAAGGUGGCCUGUGAGGGUUGCUGGAGGUAUCAGAAGUGCGAAUGCUGACAUAAGUAACGAUAAAGCGGGUGAAAAGCCCGCUCGCCGGAAGACCAAGGGUUCCUGUCCAACGUUAAUCGGGGCAGGGUGAGUCGACCCCUAAGGCGAGGCCGAAAGGCGUAGUCGAUGGGAAACAGGUUAAUAUUCCUGUACUUGGUGUUACUGCGAAGGGGGGACGGAGAAGGCUAUGUUGGCCGGGCGACGGUUGUCCCGGUUUAAGCGUGUAGGCUGGUUUUCCAGGCAAAUCCGGAAAACCAAGGCUGAGGCGUGAUGACGAGGCACUACGGUGCUGAAGCGACAAAUGCCCUGCUUCCAGGAAAAGCCUCUAAGCAUCAGGUAACAUCAAAUCGUACCCCAAACCGACACAGGUGGUCAGGUAGAGAAUACCAAGGCGCUUGAGAGAACUCGGGUGAAGGAACUAGGCAAAAUGGUGCCGUAACUUCGGGAGAAGGCACGCUGAUAUGUAGGUGAAGCGACUUGCUCGUGGAGCUGAAAUCAGUCGAAGAUACCAGCUGGCUGCAACUGUUUAUUAAAAACACAGCACUGUGCAAACACGAAAGUGGACGUAUACGGUGUGACGCCUGCCCGGUGCCGGAAGGUUAAUUGAUGGGGUUAGCGGUAACGCGAAGCUCUUGAUCGAAGCCCCGGUAAACGGCGGCCGUAACUAUAACGGUCCUAAGGUAGCGAAAUUCCUUGUCGGGUAAGUUCCGACCUGCACGAAUGGCGUAAUGAUGGCCAGGCUGUCUCCACCCGAGACUCAGUGAAAUUGAACUCGCUGUGAAGAUGCAGUGUACCCGCGGCAAGACGGAAAGACCCCGUGAACCUUUACUAUAGCUUGACACUGAACAUUGAGCCUUGAUGUGUAGGAUAGGUGGGAGGCUUUGAAGUGUAGACGCCAGUCUGCAUGGAGCCGACCUUGAAAUACCACCCUUUAAUGUUUGAUGUUCUAACGUUGGCCCGUAAUCCGGGUUGCGGACAGUGUCUGGUGGGUAGUUUGACUGGGGCGGUCUCCUCCUAAAGAGUAACGGAGGAGCACGAAGGUUGGCUAAUCCUGGUCGGACAUCAGGAGGUUAGUGCAAUGGCAUAAGCCAGCUUGACUGCGAGCGUGACGGCGCGAGCAGGUGCGAAAGCAGGUCAUAGUGAUCCGGUGGUUCUGAAUGGAAGGGCCAUCGCUCAACGGAUAAAAGGUACUCCGGGGAUAACAGGCUGAUACCGCCCAAGAGUUCAUAUCGACGGCGGUGUUUGGCACCUCGAUGUCGGCUCAUCACAUCCUGGGGCUGAAGUAGGUCCCAAGGGUAUGGCUGUUCGCCAUUUAAAGUGGUACGCGAGCUGGGUUUAGAACGUCGUGAGACAGUUCGGUCCCUAUCUGCCGUGGGCGCUGGAGAACUGAGGGGGGCUGCUCCUAGUACGAGAGGACCGGAGUGGACGCAUCACUGGUGUUCGGGUUGUCAUGCCAAUGGCACUGCCCGGUAGCUAAAUGCGGAAGAGAUAAGUGCUGAAAGCAUCUAAGCACGAAACUUGCCCCGAGAUGAGUUCUCCCUGACUCCUUGAGAGUCCUGAAGGAACGUUGAAGACGACGACGUUGAUAGGCCGGGUGUGUAAGCGCAGCGAUGCGUUGAGCUAACCGGUACUAAUGAACCGUGAGGCUUAACCUUACAACGCCGAAG
rnacentral:rRNA from 1 species